UGCCCAGCAAAGUCAUGUUGCAUAGAUUACACUUACAGGAAAGUUCAAGAAAUUAAAUAUAUAUCUCAUAGAAUUUUUAAUUAAAAUGCUUGCAGAAGAGAAGUAAAAGAACAGUUUGAAAUGUGUAGGAUUUAAACUGCAAACCUUUCUUGGGCGUAGGCCUGCCACCCAUUCUUUCUUUCAAAGAACGGUUCUUUAUUUAGCAUUAGCCUGUACCUGUCCUUUAUCCACUUAAUAAAGAACACAGUUUGUUCUCUGUUUCCAGCACUCUCAGGUAGGCCAGUCACUGGCUGCAGUGGACACACCAUGAAGAGGCUGCCUCUAGGAAGGAGUCUUCUUUAGCCCUGCAGGCUGGAGAGCAGAUUGCACUGUGGGACUACAACUCCCACAAUGAAGCUUGUUUUGGGAGCCCGAAGUUCACCUUUGCUCCUGCAGGCGAUAGGAGAAGGCUGGGCCUUGUGGAGCAGCCAGGCUUGUGAAGGCGAGGCCCAUGCUACAAAAGUCUCUCCCUGGAGCUGAGCAGCCUCCUUGUCUGUCGUCUUCUUCCACCCAACCUCCAGCCAAAAAGGCAGGGUGGUGCAAAGACAUCGUGACGAAUGGGGAAAGGCGUUCUGUUAGGUGUCUAAACUGGACGAUACUGCUUUAAAGGCUCGUUGAAAUAUAUGCAACGUAAACUCUUUAGUUCCGCACAGUGGAGUGUGUGAGCUGAAACAACAUGCAGCUGGAGAAGGUCACAUUUGCAGCAUUCCAAGGAGGGGCCAAAAUCAAGCCAUACCCAAGUUUAUGAAAGUUAAUCAGAAGCCCAUAAGGUGCUUUCAUUAUGUCUAAGCACGUUCACACAAGUGGAGCUUCAAAAAAGAAAUUGGCCAAAUCUCGUAAGAAGGAGGUUCAAAAGCAAAAGAAAGCUCUGGGUCGAUGGCUGUCUGCCAGAUCUGUAGCAGCUACAUCUGCAUCAGCAGCUGGGAAGAGCCAGUGAAGGAAAAGAAAGACUGCCCGUUCGAAGCUGCUGCCUCCAUACCAGGAGCUGAGACAGGCAGUGAAGCAGCAGGAGAAGACCUGUUCAAAGAUACUGCUUAUAUGCCCAGAGCUGAGACAGCCAGUGAAGUUGAAGACAACGCAGUAGGCCUGCGGAUCAAAGAUUCAGGGUCUGAUUCUCCAUAUUUUAAAUUGACGCAUGAUCCUGCCAGUUGGCCUACCGAAAUCAAUGACAGCACUAGGUGUUUUCUGGUGGGAAAAGGUCCUCAUCAAGAUUUAAAAAGAGAUUAUUCUUUUUGCAAAGAUGACCGUGGUAGAAGAUUCAAAGCAAGCUGGUUUUACAAAACCCUUCCGAAUGGUGAAAAGAUAAACAGAAGCUGGUUGAUAUUCAGUGAAAUAAAUAGGGUACUGUUUUGUUUUGCUUGUAUCUUAUUCCUGGACAAAUCCAAAACCCUAACUACUUUCUCAUAUCUCAGGAAGGGUUUUACCUCAGGGAAGCAUUUGAGUGAGGCAAUUCCACUUUAUGAAAACUCUUCCUUGCACUGCACAUGUGUGUGGAAAUGGACAGAGAUAUGCAACAGGCUGGAAAAGGUUGCAAUUGAUUAUCAUCUGCAAGCCCUGAUGGAAAUCAAAAGGAAUAAAUGACACACAAUACUGAAAAGAUUGUCUCCUAUUAUUUUGUACUUAUGUGAAAGAAUCCUUCCUCUAUGUGGAAAAGUGAGCACAUGUGAUGACCCAUGCAAUGGUAACUUCUUAGGAUUAGUGGAGCUUCUAAGUAAAUUUGAUCUUGUUCUGCAGCAACAUGUUAGUUCUGUAAAGGAGUCCUCUACGGUGUUCCCUCUAACAGGGAUUCCCAGAUGUUGUUGGCUACAACUCCCAUAAUCCCCAAGCAAAAGCGAAUGCAGCUGGGGAUGCUGGGAGUUGUAGUCAACAACAUCUGGGAAUCCCUGUUAGAGGGAACACUGGUCCUCUACCAGGCUAAUCUGGUACUUUUCAAACCACAUUCAAAAUGGAGUCAUAGCCAUUUUAGCAAAGGAAGUAAAAAGCUCCAUACCGGCAGACAUUUAAAAAAGCAAAUACUUUUCAGUUAUGAUUUAUUGUGCUCCAGAUAGUCCUCACAUGGAGCAUGCAUUCACAUACCUAAUGAUUUUCACAUACUGUACCUAAGUCAUUGGGUAUGUGAAACUCGUAGGUGAAACCAGGACUAUUGAGGAGUCAUUGUCAGGCUUUUAUGAGUGCAAGGACAAAAAGGAGAAAGCAUAGCACGGAAUGUAGAAGCUGGACUACAACAGGAGGGCCUGAUAUGGGACGUCUUUCGAGGUCAGUGCUAUGACAAUGGAUCAAACAUGGCAGGGGAAUUCAAAGGAGUUCAAGCAAGAAUUUUGGCCAAGUAUAAAUCAGCACAUUAUGUACUUUGCUUUACGCAUAGUUUGAACCUGAUUGGAGUUCAUGCAGCAUCACUGAUUCCACAGUUCAUCACAUAUUCUGCCAUUGUGCAACAACUUUUCUAAUUUUGCUCUGGGUCGUUGUUGUUUUUUUGCGUUGGGAUAUCUUGAAAGAGCAUCUCAGCCUUUCAGUGAAGCAAAAUAGCUCAACAAGGUGGUCAGCAAAAACUGUAGCUGUCAGAGCUGUUUUCACCCAGUUGCCAGAAAUAUGCAAUACACUGACUGCAAUAACUGAUGACACUCAAAUCAAUAGUGAGUGAAAGGCCGAGGCAACAUCACUAAGGAAGCAGAUGUCAAAAUACUCAUUCAUUGUUCUCUCUCCUCAGAUACCAGAUUUUUGAAAGUCAAAGAAUAUAAGAACUGCAGUCCAAAGAAAUCAGUUGAACAACUGCAUGUGAUCUUAUUAAAAUGUUGAUUGACACUCUGCAAGCAAUGAGGUGCAAUGAGGUGCAAGCAAACAAAAUAUGCAGAAUUACUGACAGGCACAGAAGAAAAAGCCAGAAGAGUUGACAGUGCAACUGAAAGCUUUGAAGAAAAAAGGACCUCCCCACCAAAAGGGAAAAGGCUUUUUGGUGAAGGACAGAGUUUAUCUGGAUAGGUUGUUCCGUGUUGACAUCUUCUACAGAGUGUUGGAUAAUAUUGCCAGUGAACUAGAGCAUCGUUUCAGUGCUGUGCAGAACAUUGAGAAGAAAUCUUCUGUGCCAACAAUGGCAACUUUAGAGAAAAUGAGUGAGGUAGAGCUUCUGCCAAACUGCAAAGUGCUUUCUCAAAUGUUUCUAAAGGACCUCUCUGCAGACAUUCUUUCUGAUGAGCUUCUCAAUUCGCAACAGACCGAGUGGAACAGCCUUGGCUUACGGAGUGUCUGUCACAGGGUGACUGCUACUUUAAAUGUGGAAAAUGGCGAAAAGAAAAACCUGCCCACCACAGGAGGAGACCUCUCAGCGUCCAAGAUCUUUGGCUCACUAUAGGACUGGGUGGAUUUCUCCCGGAGCAUGAGCGCUGGCUGCAAGAAUUUCUCUGUGGCAC